GCACGGCAUUGCUUAUCACUGCGCAGGCUCAGUAUGUUCCCGCGGGUCCACAGUCUGGAACAUGUGUAGUCGGAGCGAUCAUGAGAAGUAGUUGCUCUUUUCUUCGGCUCCACAAAAGCAUGUUAGAAGAGGAUUUGCAGAUUGGAAACUCAAACCAAAUGAUACACCAAGAUCCAAACCAUUCAACAAUUUGAUAACUGGAUAUAAAUUGAGAGACAGAGCAGCCAGUCCAAAAGCUUCCAAAGUCGCUCUGCUCUUCCGUGACAUUCUUGAACUGCUGCAGUCCAUCUGCUGAUGGUCUUCCCAGAUUGCUGUUCGGUGGACCCAACACCGAUCCCUGCGGAACACCACUGGUCACCGCUGAACACCAGGCCUUCAGUCCGAAAAACAACCCUCCACUUCUACAGCCUGUCUGCUGACGUUAAGCAAAUUUUGUAUCCAGUUGGCAAGCUCACCCUGGAUCCCAUCAUGUGGGCGUCACUGGCUCAGCCAGAAUUUAUUGCCUGUUCGUGAUUGCCCAGACGUUGUCAAGAGUCAACUGCAGUGCUGUGGGGCUGGAGUCACACAUAGGCCAGACCAGGGAAUUGGAAAGGGAGAGUUUACACACAGGCAGCUCAAGUUAAACAUUGGAUUAAAAACUGCCUGGAACACUCUAUUCUCAGGAGCUUUGAACAUGGAAGGAAAAAACAUCGUUUACAGUGAAGAGAAACCAUACAUGUGGUCUGUGUGGACAAGCCUUCAGUCAAUCGUCUGGCCUGUCGAUACAUAAAUGCAGUCAAAACAGGGUGACAUCAAUGAAAUCAAGCAGCACUUGCUUUGUAAUAUCAUGGUCAUGGAUCUCAGUUUGAGUCAAACAAGGGCCUCUCGGCUCCUGAUCUCCUUACAUUUUUGAUGCAAACGUGCACCAAACAGCUAAAUUCCAAAUAUGAGAAAUGAAUCCACUAUCUUAAGGCUCCAUUUGACGGAGCAUUGUGUCAAGGGAUCAUAGCAAAGCUAAAGUCAAUGGGAAUCGGAGAAUGUUAUUCUCCCUUUGAUAGCCGGUUUUUGAAAAGAUUGCGUCUUCAGACUUGAGUAAAUCGAAGCAAGGUGAAUUCAUUCAAACUUUUGCCACAUACAUGCAGAAGCAGUCUCCAAGUCGAGCUGGAGACAUUCAACCGUUUACAGCUCAAAACAGCAUAUUAAGACAUUUACAUGUCAGAAUGGUUACAUGUAACAUUGCUAUAAAAUAAAUUAUAUGUCAAUCAUUAACCUCAAAAA